rnacentral:rRNA from 1 species
GUUCCAGACUCCUACGGGAGGCAGCAGUGGGGGAUAUUGCACAAUGGAGGAAACUCUGAUGCAGCGACGCCGCGUGAGGGAAGACGGUCUUCGGAUUGUAAACCUCUGUCUUUGGGGAAGAAAAUGACGGUACCCAAAGAGGAAGCUCCGGCUAACUACGUGCCAGCAGCCGCGGUAAUACGUAGGGAGCGAGCGUUGUCCGGAAUUACUGGGUGUAAAGGGAGCGUAGGCGGGAAAGCAAGUCAGAUGUGAAAACCAUGGGCUCAACCUGUGGCCUGCAUUUGAAACUGUUUUUCUUGAGUACUGGAGAGGCAGACGGAAUUCCUAGUGUAGCGGUGAAAUGCGUAGAUAUUAGGAGGAACACCAGUGGCGAAGGCGGUCUGCUGGACAGCAACUGACGCUGAGGCGCGAAAGCGUGGGGAGCAAACAGGAUUAGAUACCCCAGUA